UCUGAUGGGCGUCCCGAACUGACGUCCGUCCUGAUACGCAUACCGCCGUGACGCCGUCUAUUUUGUUUCCGAAUACGAUGUAUCCGAGUCAAAAUAAUUAACAAAAGGUAGAUUAGGUCCGUGAAAAUUUGUGAUUUUAGUCGAUAAGUGAUCAAGACUCAAGUGUUGAAAGUCAAUUGCAUUACAACAGUGAAUUUCGUUUGUUUUUGUGUACAGAAUAAUUAUUGUGUAAGCGGCAACAGCUUAUUUAGCUGAAAAAAUUGAAUUAGCAUUUACUAAUUGUUUUCGUGUCAUCUUGUUGCUGCAAACGCUUUGUGUCUGUACUGUCUGAGCAACUAAAGCAUAGUUCCAUCCACCGUUUUUAGAGAGCGGUACUACCAAUAGCGAUGAUAGUGAAAAAAGUGCUCGAAAGGUGACUGUGUCGUUUAAGAAAAGCCUCGGAACGCCAUAUCUGUAUGAUAACAGGUGAACUUUAUCUUAUCUGCGAGAGAAGCCGCACAGGUGAUAAAAUUUUUUUGAUAAGUUAGUUGCGAGAUCGGUGUCGAAUGAGAAUGUUGCAUCAAAUGGACGCGUUUAGCGACAAAUUAUCCGCAGGUGGAGCUAGUGUGGUUGUAGGUGCUAUUAGUCCUAGUCAUUCUUCGGUUUUGGAUUCCAAUGCCAACAGGAUGCAUCCCUAUCUGAAGCAGGUGGCUAACGGAACUACACCUAAAAGAAUAUAUCAGCCCUAUCUUAUGUCGUUUGGUGGAAUUCAUCCUCUUCAUGUUGUGUCUCCAAUGGUUCCGACAACUUCCGCGAUUAUGCCCAUCCAGAAUCAUCUUAAGGAUCAGUUUUUUGAAAAAAGCUCUCUGGCCAUGAACAACAACAACAACAUUACCAACCAGACUAACAACAAUAACAACAACGUUAGUAGCAACAACAAUAAUUUGUUAAAUGCGACAAACGCAAACGUCGUGGCGUUGACGCAAACCAAAAACGAGCAAGAACAACCUGAUAACGACACGAUAAAGAUGUUCGUGGGACAAGUGCCUCGUUCGAUGGACGAGAACGACUUAAGGAGAAUGUUUGAGGAAUACGGCAGGGUACACUCAAUAAACGUACUUCGGGAUAAAGCAACGGGAGCCAGUAAAGGUUGCUGUUUUGUGACGUUCUUCACAAGAAAAGCUGCCCUACUGGCUCAAGAUGCUCUGCACAACGUGAAGACUUUAAAUGGGAUGCAUCAUCCCAUUCAGAUGAAGCCGGCCGACAGCGAGAAUAGGAACGAAAGAAAAUUAUUCGUUGGAAUGUUGAGUAAAAAGUUGUGCGAAAACGAUGUACGUGCCCUUUUCAACGGAUACGGGACAAUCGAAGAGUGCACCGUGUUAAGAGAUCCGGCGGGAAAUUCUCGCGGUUGCGCGUUCGUCACCUUCGCCUCCAAACAAUCUGCCUUAAGUGCUAUCAAAGGCCUUCAUCAAUCACAAACGAUGGAAGGCUGUUCAGCGCCUUUAGUAGUCAAAUUCGCCGAUACGCAAAAAGAAAAAGAACUGAAACGGCAACAACAGAUGCAAGCCAAUGUCUGGAAUGCCUUAGCAGCACCAACGUUAGCUUCACCACCUCAGCAAUUCUCCCCCGUUCUACCCACCGAAGCAACGUCGCUACAGCUUCUUCAAGCGAUGGGAGGAGCCGGCUUGUUGCAACAGCAAUUCCUUAGUGGGACUGAAAACCUUUUAGCACCCAUCGGGGUACAAAAUCUGGUGACCUUGGCGGCCAUGUCGCAACCGGCUACCGCGGCUACAGCGCCCUUCAUGGCUAAUUUGUUGGGAAAGGGUGCGGGGGUUGAAAGGACGCUUAACGCGAGUUUGCAUCCAACGGCGCUUACGACGUCGGAUUUGUCGUCUUACGGAUCGUUAAUUAGUAAUGCUACAAUAAAUGCUGCGGCGAUGGCUGCAGCGGGAAAACAGAUUGAGGGUCCAGAUGGUUGUAAUCUGUUCAUAUACCACCUCCCGCAAGAAUUCACCGAUACGGAUCUUGCGUCAACAUUUCUCCCCUUCGGUCCAGUCAUAUCCGCCAAGGUGUUCAUAGAUAAACAGACAAAUCUGUCCAAAUGUUUUGGUUUUGUUUCAUUUGAUAACGCGCAUUCAGCUCAACAAGCCAUAUCAGCUAUGAACGGCUUUCAGAUAGGCACCAAAAGGCUGAAAGUACAACUAAAAAGGGCCAAAGAUGCCUCCAAACCUUACUAGCCAAAGAAGCGAGAGAGCCAAUUAGACGCAGGUCUGCCCAGGUACAUAGCAGGCCUCUGUGAUCAACAAUAUCUAUUUUUCUCCUGCGCAAACGAGCCACACCGAUUUUCCUUUAUUUUACUUCAGGUCAAGAAGCGUGUGAUGCUGCUGCCGGCCUCGUCCGAUUGGUCCAAAAUCCAGCACAGUGCCAGUGCAGUGCAAUCUCAGGAUCUAGCUGCUAUUUUUAUGAACUGGCCUCUUAACAUGAAGUUGGCUUAUGGGAUUCGACGUAUUAGGAGGUUUGUGGAUGCUUGGCAUAUUGAGACGACGUAGGUGAGCCAUGUUUGGAUGUCCCAUCAUACCGGGAGAAGGUCUGUAGUACGCAUCGCCAUUCAUUAAAUGCUGAAAAAAAAAUAAAUAAAUUUAGAUAAACUUCACUGAUAUACUUUUUUUUAUUGAUUUUUAAUAAUAAAAUAAAGAUUGAUUACUUUAA
rnacentral:misc_RNA from 1 species